GCUCUUACAAUUUAUCUCCACUAUCUCUGAUGAUAGAGAAUUUUAGGUGCUUUGGAAUCCAUGGGUGGUAAGAAUUCUUAUCUGUAGUAGGUCCUCCCUGAUGUAUGUAGCUCUCCCCUGGGAUACUACAUUCAGUACACCUGCCCUGCAGUCGGUAUCGAGAAAUUCUGCUCCAUUGCUUUUCUACUACAUUGAGGACUAUGAUCAUUUGUUUCAAAGAGAGGUUUACUGUUGAGAUUUUUAUUUGCUUUGUAGCUUCAUAUGUUCAUACUUCCACCAGAUAAUAUGAACAAAUAGCGUUGCAAGAGCCCCCUGCUAUAAAUUGAGUUAACUUUUAGCUUUGCAGUCAGUCAACCAAAUUUUGGUGCUUGGUUGAUAGCCCCUAUCUAUUUAUCAGUGACAAUUUUCAGCAUCUUUUGAAGGAAUAAUUCUGGUUCUGAUAAAGAACCAUGUUAUACUUGUUUGUUUUCUGUAUAAGCAUCAAAUCUUUCAAAUGGAUGUUGUGAUUAGAAUAAUGACAACAUUAGUGUUCAUCACUAUUCAUCUUGGACUUGAAUAUAUCUAUGUUAUUGGAACAUUUGUAUCAAUCAAAAA